GUGAGGAAUAUUGGUCAAUGGGCGCGAGCCUGAACCAGCCAAGUAGCGUGCGGGACGACUGCCCUAUGGGUUGUAAACCGCUUUUGUACGGGAAUAAAGUCGGGGACGCGUCCCCGUUUGCAUGUACCGUAAGAAUAAGGACCGGCUAAUUCCGUGCCAGCAGCCGCGGUAAUACGGAAGGUCCGGGCGUUAUCCGGAUUUAUUGGGUUUAAAGGGAGCGCAGGCCGAUGAUUAAGCGUGACGUGAAAUGCCGCGGCUCAACCGUGGAAGUGCGUCGCGAACUGGUUGUCUUGAGUGAGUGCGACGUCAGCGGAAUUCGUGGUGUAGCGGUGAAAUGCUUAGAUAUCACGAAGAACCCCGAUUGCGAAGGCAGCUGACGAGCCCUUUACUGACGCUAAAGCUCGAAGGUGCGGGUAUCGAACAGGAUUAGAAACCCUAGUAGUCC
rnacentral:rRNA from 1 species